rnacentral:tRNA from 1 species
GCCUAGGUGGCUCAGUCGGUUGAGUGUCUGACUUCAGCUCAGGUCAUGAUCUCACAGUCUGUGGGUUCGAGCCCCAUGUCGGGCU